CUGCGUGGAAGGGCCAUCGCUCAACGGAUAAAAGCUACCCUGGGGAUAACAGGCUUAUCUCCCCCAAGAGUCCACAUCGACGGGGAGGUUUGGCACCUCGAUGUCGGCUCAUCACAUCCUGGGGCUGUAGUAGGUCCCAAGGGUUGGGCUGUUCGCCCAUUAAAGUGGUACGCGAGCUGGGUUCAGAACGGCGUGAGACAGUUCGGUCCCUAUCCGUCGCAGGCGUAGGAAAUUUGAGAAGACCUGUCCUUAGUACGAGAGGACCGGGAUGGACGUACCUCUGGUGUACCAGUUGUUCUGCCAAGGGCAUGGCUGGGUAGCUAUGUACGGAAUGGAUAAGCGCUGAAAGCAUCUAAGCGCGAAGCCAACUUCAAGAUAAGAUUUCCCACCGCAAGGGUAAGACCCCAGAAAGACUAUCUGGUUGAUAGGUCGAAGGUGUAAGUGCAGCAAUGUAU
rnacentral:rRNA from 1 species